UACAGAGGGGGCAAGCGUUGUUCGGAAUUACUGGGCGUAAAGGGCGCGUAGGCGGCCUUCUAAGUCGAACGUGAAAUCCCUCGGCUUAACCGGGGAACUGCGUCUGAUACUGGAUGGCUUGAGUUUGGGAGAGGGAUGCGGAAUUCCAGGUGUAGCGGUGAAAUGCGUAGAUAUCUGGAGGAACACCGGUGGCGAAGGCGGCAUCCUGGACCGACACUGACGCUGAGGAGCGAAAGCCAGGGGAGCAAACGGG
rnacentral:rRNA from 1 species